rnacentral:misc_RNA from 1 species
GCAACUUCAGCUUCUAGUUCUUGCAUCAUUGAAGCAUCCGAUUACUGAUUCUCUGGCAUAGGAAAGACGCCUUUUGAGGUUUGGUGAAUUGUUGAAUCAUCCAUUUAAGUCCUAUGGCGGAUGAGGAACCUGUUGAUCAAAAGAAGUAUCUUGAGGAUUCCUGCAAGCCUAAAUGUGUGAAGCCUCUGAUUGAAUAUGAGGCAUGUAUUAAGAGGAUUGAAGGUGAUGAACCUGGGCAAAAACACUGUACAGGGCAGUACUUUGACUACUUAUUUUGUAUUGAUAGAUGUGUUGCUCCGGNNNNNNNNNNNAACUGAAGUAACUGGAAGUCCCUUCGGACAUCUCUUUCUCAUUCUGUCAGUAUGCUUUACGAACAGC